rnacentral:rRNA from 1 species
UACGGGGGGGGGCAAGCGUUUGUUCGGAAUUACUGGGCGUAAAGGGCGCGUAGGCGGCCUUCUAAGUCGGACGUGAAAUCCCUCGGCUUAACCGAGGAACUGCGUCCGAUACUGAAAGGCUUGAAUCCGGGAGAGGGAUGUGGAAUUCCAGGUGUAGCGGUGAAAUGCGUAGAUAUCUGGAGGAACACCGGUGGCGAAGGCGGCAUCCUGGACCGGCAUUGACGCUGAGGCGCGAAAGCUAGGGGAGCAAACGGG